rnacentral:rRNA from 1 species
UCGCCUCUUGCUAAAAAACAUGUAUAAGAGGUCCAGCCUGCCCAGUGACUAUAUGUUCAACGGCCGCGGUAUUCUGACCGUGCAAAGGUAGCGUAAUCACUUGUCUUUUAAAUAAAGACUGGUAUGAAUGGCACCACGAAGGUUCAACUGUCUCCUGCAUCCAAUCCAUUAAACUGACCUCCCCGUGCAGAGGCGGGGAUACAACCAUAAGACGAGAAGACCCUAUGGAGCUUUAAACUAAAGGCAACUGCCAACUUCAACCUAACCCAUAAGGAAAUAACAAUAAAACAAGCAGAAAUUGACCUAAAGUUUUCGGUUGGGGCGACCACGGAGAAUAAAAAAUCCUCCUUGAAGAAUAGGGCCUACCACCCUUAACCAAGAAUCACCAUUCUAAGUAACAAAAUUUAUGACUACAAUUGAUCCAGUCUUACUGAUCAACGAACCAAGUUACCCUAGGGAUAACAGCGCAAUCCAUUUCAAAAGUUCCUAUCGACAAAUGGGUUUACGACCUCGAUGUUGGAUCAGGGCAUCCCAGUGGUGCAGCCGCUACUAAAGGUUCGUUUGUUCAACGAUUAAAGCCCUACGU